GACGAACGCUGGCGGCGUGCUUAACACAUGCAAGUCGAACGGUAAGGCCCCUUCGGGGGUACACAAGUGGCGAACGGGUGAGUAACACGUGGGUGAUCUGCCCUGCACUCUGGGAUAAGCCUGGGAAACUGGGUCUAAUACCGGAUAUGAGCUCCUGUCGCAUGGCGGGGGUUGGAAAGGUUUACUGGUGCAGGAUGGGCCCGCGGCCUAUCAGCCCGUUGGUGGGGUAAUGGCCUACCAAGGCGACGACGGGUAGCCGGCCUGAGAGGGCGACCGGCCACACUGGGACUGAGACACGGCCCAGACUCCUACGGGAGGCAGCAGUGGGGAAUAUUGCACAAUGGGCGAAAGCCUGAUGCAGCGACGCCGCGUGAGGGAUGGCGGCCUUCGGGUUGUAAACCUCUUUCAGCAGGGACGAAGCGAGAGUGACGGUACCUGCAGAAGAAGCACCGGCCAACUACGUGCCAGCAGCCGCCGUAA
rnacentral:rRNA from 1 species